GGCCCGCUAGCUCAAUUGGUAGAGCAAGAGACUCUUAAUCUCUGGGUUCAUGGUUCGAGUCCAUGGCGGGUCACCA
rnacentral:tRNA from 1 species